UUUUUACUGUAAUCUAAUUUUCAGUACUGGACCAUGUGAACUGGAUUGAAAACCACUAAAUUUGAAACUAUUUUGAACCAGAGAAGACAACUAGAACUUACAAACUAUGGAUUUUGGAGGGUAACACUUGCUGCAAAUUUGCUCAAGAACACACUUUGGAGAAACAGACUUUGAUGCAAGACGCUGUGGCUAAUGAGCUCUCAUCAAGUCAAACUCAGAUCUCUGUCCAAUGUAAGGAGAACCCUGAGGGUCAAGACGGAAUAGUG